UACGUAGGUGGCAAGCGUUGUCCGGAUUUACUGGGCGUAAAGGGCGCGCAGGCGGCUGGUCAAGUCCGAUGUGAAAGCUCCCGGCUUAACUGGGAAACGGCAUCGGAAACUGAUCGGCUUGAAGGUGGGAGAGGGUAGUGGAAUUCCCGGUGUAGUGGUGAAAUGCGUAGAUAUCGGGAGGAACACCAGUGGCGAAGGCGACUACCUGGCCCACUCUUGACGCUGAGGCGCGAAAGCUAGGGGAGCGAACGGG
rnacentral:rRNA from 1 species